rnacentral:ncRNA from 1 species
UUCUGUCCUGGAGAAUGUUAUUUUUCCUUGAGCAAGAAAAAUAAAUUAGGACUACACGUCAAUUAAUUAGCACGUUAUUAAAAUUUAUUUUAAGUCAUAAAAUUCAACUUUGACAAUUAGUAGUUGAAAUAUUACGAAUUUUGAAAAAGUGGUGGUUUACUUUUAAUUAAUUGGCUACACAGG